GGAUUUAGCAACGGUUCUGUCUUUGGACCCUAAAUUUCAAUAAUUCCUCACUUUUAAUUUAAGUAAGCAACCGACCAAAUAAAUUUUGUACCAGCAGCCAAACCGCUGAAAUUUCAAAUCUCUGCAAAUUACUCCAGUUAAUAAUUCUUCUAGGCUGUAAUCCGUUCGGUUGACUUGCAGGUGAGGGGGAUAGUUAUGUCCGCCGGUAUGGGUAUGCCUCCGGUGAUCAAGUUGGAUAGUCCGGAUACAGGCAAAGGAUGGGGAUGAAUAAAUAAACGAUUUUUCUGCCACAUUCUUGCGUUGUUUUCCAGCAAAAACUGCUGACGCCGAAUCUCUUGAGAAAUGCGCUUUUCUGCUACUCUAUGUUAUCCGUUCAGCAGUAGCUCUUUUCUCUUCAGCCGGCAUUUCUGCAGCGGCUGUCCCUGUUUUAUUGUCGUACUUGUACUCCCAACUUCUAACUGUUUCUCUGUAAUAUUUCUGCAGCUGGUUUUGCGUGUAGGACAAAGUUCUAAUGCUUUAGAAAGAAGCCCAACCGAUUCUAGACCCUGCUCUAUUUAUCCUUCCACAUGCCAAUUCUCCAGGUAUUGCAGAAUAUAUCUCAAACAUUUUGUUGUUCUUCCAACAAUAAUAUGACAAGAAUGCUGGUCUGGUCAUCUGAUCAUGCUGGGAACAUGAUUCUUCUUCUGCAGGCCAAGUGCCGCCUGAGAUCAGUCCAUACUCUUCGUGGAGGAACAGAAUACGAAAAUUAUAGGAGGCUCAAUUCUUCCUGAUGGUGCAAAAUCAAAGGUUUGAAGAUGUGGUGGCUACUAUGACAUGUCUACUUCAAUGAAGUAUCUUUAAAUAGAAUGCUCUGAAGCUUCACAUAUCUAAACGUCAUAGGCUAUCCCUGAUAGCCAAUAGCUCCAGGACACUUUCUUAACUAAAGCAGCAUAAUAAUGUUGGAUGUAUUAUUUCAACGUACACAUUUUUGCAUUUGGAGAUUGUCGUUUUGGUCCAUUCUCUUUUAGCACUUAGUUAAGAAUGACAUAGAGCUUCAUAUAGAUGUGUUUAAGGUGAAUGUUGGCAGUUUUGCUGCAGAGAAUAAAUUGGGGCGGUGCAAAACCAGGCUCAUAAUAUAAAAAACGCUAGACAUCGUCAUGAAGCAAUGUGCUGAAAGUGAACAGGUUCACGACUUAACUCUUGUCUCUCUGACAUGGUCUAAAUUUUAGUUUUCCAUGGAGUAAGAAGAAAUCAUUUUUCUCUCGUUCAUAAAAUUAGGACGUGUGAAUUUUAUGGUAAUUUUUCUGUACCAACUAGGUAACCAAAUUCCAGAAGCUAAUGCUUACAAACUAGUAUUAGUCUUUUACUCGUCAAAAGAGCCCAGUGUUAAUGUGAAUUUAGAGUUUUACCUUUGAGGAUCUCUCGUUCUGCCUUGUCUAAUUUUCCAUGUUAUAAAGCUGCCAAAUCAUUACGGGUUGAAGAUGGUAAAUGCCACCUGUGCAGGAGCAAGUUCAGGUGAGUUUUCAAUUGAAAUGGAAAUUAUUUUUUUUUAUCAGACUUCUUUUUUUCUUCUUGUCAUUCACAUUUCUUUGCUCUGGAAAUUGUUCGAAAUAUUGCAUUACCCAACACAUUUGCUAGAACUUCUUCAACUUUGACAGCUGCAGGAAUUCUGCAACUUCAAAACCUGGUUACUGUAUUCUCAUUCUUUACAGAUGCAGCCACUCUGUAAUUGUACCUAUAGAUGAGAGUGACAUGUAUGUUUAUUUUCCCUACUUCUGCAUCUCCAGUAACUUGCUAUCAUUAGUUUCGGGUGUUACCUCUUUGCCAACCUUGAAUUCAAAUAGAAGACGGUCAAAAGAUGUUGAAAAUUGGUUUUUACGAAUCUGCUUUCGAUAGUCAUAUACUCCUUUAUUUGGCAUCCACCUUGUUCCUCUUGUAACCACUUUAAAGUUGAGAAAAUCAUUUCUCGUCUUCCAGCCAUAUACUAGAAGAUGCCUUUCAAUGAUUAAUCUCUCAAAGCAUGUCUUUUGCAAUAGCCAUCCUUUUUGAGCUACAAAUGUGAUAGGUUGCCUAAUUAAUUUGCACUUUACAUUUUUCUCCAAUUAGGAAGCAGCCCUUCGCCAGGGCGUGGUCAAGUCUAGUGGCCUCCAUGUUAUUGAUUCCUUCACUACUGUGGAGGACCAGACUAGCACUGAUUUUGGC